rnacentral:rRNA from 1 species
AUUGAACGCUAGCGGGAUGCUUUACACAUGCAAGUCGAACGAGUGGCGGACGGGUGAGUAAUAUAUCGGAACGUGCCCAGUAGCGGGGGAUAAAUACUCGGAAAAGUGGCUCAAACCGCAUACUAUUGGAGCGGCCGAUAUUGGAUUAGCUAGUUGGUGGGGUAAAGGCUCACCAAGGCAACGAUCCGUAGCUGGUUUGAGAGGAUGAUCAGCCACACUGGGACUGAGACACGGCCCAGACUCCUACGGGAGGCAGCAGUGGGGAAUUGUGGACAAUGGGGGAAACCCUGAUCCAGCCAUCCCGCGUGUAUGAGAAGGCCUUCGGGUUGUAAAGUACUUUUGGCAGAGAAGCGGUAUCUGCAGAAGAAGCACCGGCUAACUACGUGCCAGCAGCCGCGGUAAUUC